AAAACAUAGCCUUUAGCAAUAUAAGUAUUAAAGGUCUCGCCUGCCCAGUGAAUUUUUUAACGGCCGCGGUAUUCUAACCGUGCAAAGGUAGCGUAAUCACUUGUCUUUUAAAUAAAGACCCGUAUGAACGGCUAAAUGAGGAUAGCCCUGUCUCCUACAACUAAUCAGUGAAACUGAUCUCCCAGUACAAAAGCUAGGAUAAAAACACAAGACGAGAAGACCCUGUGGAGCUUUAAAUCCAUAACUACAGACCCCCUUAACACUAGUAUAUGAUUUUGAGUUGGGGCGACUUCGGAAUAUAAAGAAACUUCCGAGCACAGAACCAUAAAUUCAAACCAAGGCUAACAAGCCAAUAAAGACCCAGUCCUACUGACUAACGAACCAAGUUACCCCAGGGAUAACAGCGCCAUCUUCUUCAAGAGUCCCUAUCGACAAGAAGGCUUACGACCUCGAUGUUGGAUCAGGACACCCAAAUG
rnacentral:rRNA from 1 species